GCCUACGGGCGGCAGCAGUCGGGAAAAUUUUGCAAUACGCGAAAGCGUGACAGAGCAAGCCAAAGUGCUUUUCUUAUAAUUUGAAAAGCUUUUGUGAGAUGUAAACAGUCUCACGAAUAAGGACUGGGCAAGACUGGUGCCAGCCGCCGCGGUAAUCCCAGCAGUCCAAGUCGCAGCCACAUUUGUUGGGUCUAAAAUAUCCGUAGCUUGCCUUGCAAGUCUUUUGUUAAAUCGGGCCUCUUAAGGGUCCGGCAGCAUAAGAUACUGCUUGGCUAGAGACCGGGAGGCGUAAAGAGUACGGCGGGGGUAGCGGUAAAAUGUGUUGAUCCCCUCUGGACUAACAAUCGCGAAGGCACUUUACGAGAACGGUUCUGACAGUGAGGGAUGAAGGCUAGGGGCGCAAAACGGAUUAGAUACCCCUGUAGUC
rnacentral:rRNA from 1 species